rnacentral:rRNA from 1 species
UCAGCUCGUGUCGUGAGAUGUUGGGUUAAGUCCCGCAACGAGCGCAACCCUUGUCAUUAGUUGCCAUCAUUCGGUUGGGCACUCUAAUGAGACUGCCGGUGACAAGCCGGAGGAAGGUGGGGAUGACGUCAAGUCCUCAUGGCCCUUAUGACCAGGGCUUCACACGUCAUACAAUGGUCGGUACAGAGGGUAGCCAAGCCGCGAGGCGGAGCCAAUCUCACAAAACCGAUCGUAGUCCGGAUUGCACUCUGCAACUCGAGUGCAUGAAGUCGGAAUCGCUAGUAAUCGCAGGUCAGCAUACUGCGGUGAAUACGUUCCCGGGUCUUGUACACACCGCCCGUCACACCAUGGGAGUGGGGGAUACCAGAAGUAGGUAGGGUAACCGCAAGGAGUCCGCUUACCACGGUAUGCUUCAUGACUGGGGUGAAGUCGUAACAAGGUAGCCGUAGGGGAACCUGCGGCUGGAUCACCUCCUUUCUAGAG